rnacentral:rRNA from 1 species
UUUUAUGGAGAGUUUGAUCCUGGCUCAGGACGAACGCUGGCGGCGUGCCUAAUACAUGCAAGUCGAGCGGAAAUUUUAUUGGUGCUUGCACCUUUAAAAUUUUAGCGGCGGACGGGUGAGUAACACGUGGGUAACCUACCUUAUAGAUUGGGAUAACUCCGGGAAACCGGGGCUAAUACCGAAUAAUACUUUUUAACACAUGUUUAAAAGUUGAAAGACGGUUUCGGCUGUCACUAUAAGAUGGACCCGCGGCGCAUUAGCUAGUUGGUGAGGUAACGGCUCACCAAGGCAACGAUGCGUAGCCGACCUGAGAGGGUGAUCGGCCACACUGGGACUGAGACACGGCCCAGACUCCUACGGGAGGCAGCAGUAGGGAAUCUUCCACAAUGGACGAAAGUCUGAUGGAGCAACGCCGCGUGAGUGAAGAAGGA